rnacentral:tRNA from 1 species
GAGUGUAUAGCUCUGGUUAGAGCACAUGCUUAGCAUGCAUGAGGUCCUGGGUUCAAUCCCCAGUACCUCCA